GGAAUAUUGGACAAUGGGGGAAACCCUGAUCCAGCCAUGCCGCGUGUGUGAAGAAGGCCUUCGGGUUGUAAAGCACUUUCAGUGGGGAGGAAAGAUUAUCGGUUAAUACCCGGUAAAGUUGACGUUACCCACAGAAGAAGCACCGGCUAAUUCCGUGCCAGCAGCCGCGGUAAUACGGAAGGUGCAAGCGUUAAUCGGAAUUACUGGGCGUAAAGCGCGCGCAGGCGGCUUGGUCAGUCGGGUGUGAAAGCCCCGGGCUCAACCUGGGAACUGCAUCCGAUACUGCCAAGCUAGAGUACGAGAGAGGAGAGUGGAAUUCCAGGUGUAGCGGUGAAAUGCGUAGAGAUCUGGAGGAACAUCAGUGGCGAAGGCGGCUCUCUGGCUUGAUACUGACGCUGAGGUGCGAAAGCGUGGGGAGCAAAC
rnacentral:rRNA from 1 species